rnacentral:lncRNA from 1 species
GGCUUUCCUGAGCUCACUUGUACAGGAAAGAAGUCUUUCCCUCAGGAUUCAUCUUCCAUGAAGGAAGUUUUGAUAACUCUAAGCAUGAUCAACUGUUAGAAAUGUUUUUCUUAUGACCAUCAGAUUUUUCACCUUACUGUUAGGGUGUCAUUCCCAGAAGAAGCUUGAAGUGACCAUAAGCAUCAUUUAGUGUUCCCCAAAGUGUAUUCCACUGAACAGCAGAUCUGUGAGAUGAUAUUAGAACAUACGGGAAAGGUGAAAACAUUCAUGCCAUGUAUUCUCCAAAUUCCAUGUCUAAAAGAUGAACAGGGGAAGAGGGAAGAAAGGAAAGAAGGAAAUAGGGGAUAUGGUGGAGAAAAGAAAGGAGGAAGGGCGAUAGCAGAGAGAAGAAAGGAAAGAAAAAGGAAAGAG